rnacentral:hammerhead_ribozyme from 1 species
AUCCGGCUGACGAGCCCCAAAAUAGGACUAAACGCGCGUCAUGGAU